CAGAGUACAUUUCAGUUCAGUUUCAUAUAUUUACAACCAGCAGCAUACAAUCUCUGCAAGCUGUGAAUGACAGAAAUCAUAGAAUGUAUUUCUAAAUUUUGCAAGUAGUCCCACAAGAAUCAAAGAUGGAUUCCAGAUGCAGCAGGUGCAGCAGAACGAAGAAAAUGGAGGAGAAUUAUGGCACAAAGCAGUUCAUUCCAAAGUGAUUUCUGUCCUGACAUGUGAAAAUGACCUGAUACUUUCUUGUUCCCUCCUCCUGUGUAAGAGUUUAUGUAAGAGAAGAGCACAUCUAAACAACGAGAUGAGUAAGUGUGAAAAAUGGAAUUUCAGUAUUUGGAAAGGAACAAUUAUUCAGUUAGCUACCAUGGGCAGAGCAUCAGGAACUGAUUACAUUAACUGUUUGCAAGCAUCUCUGAAGUGUGUGUCAAGCCUCCCAAAGCUUAAUUCUGCUUCAUUGUGUAAAAAUCCACAGGAAGAGGUCAGUCACUGAAACUCUUGAAAUAGGUGUAUAAAAGCUGUGAAUCAGAUCAGUCACCUGAAAAGAAACGUCAUGCACAAACUUCCUGGCAGCACAAAGUUUGUACUUCCCAAAAUGUUCAGACAGCUGCAGUCUGACUUUAAAACAUUUGUGCUUGUGUAGUUGCAUGCACAGCGAAGCUUUGAAAAUGCACUUUUAUGUAUUAAAAGAACAACGCUCAUUUACUUCAUGGAUCACAGGACAUCACAGAGCACUUUAUAAUCAAUAAAUUGCAAUCACUGUUAUAAUGUAGGAAACACAGCAGUCAAUUUAUGCACAGCAAGGUCUCCACAAACAGCAGAAUGCUGACCAGAUAGUCUGUUACACUGCGAUGUUGCUUGGGAAAUAAAUAUUUGGUCAAGACACCAGGGAGAACUCCCACUGCUCUUCUUCAAAAUAGUGUCAUUGAUGAAAGGGUCAAUGGGAUUUCAGGAUAAAGUCUCACCUAAAAGGCAGCAGCAGCAUAACACUCUUUCAGAGCCACCUAUUUUGCGAUCAAGUCUCUGGAAAUGGAAGCUUGAACUCACAACCUUCAGAAGUAAGAGAGUUACCUAUUGAGUCGCAGCUGACAACUAUAUAACUUGGAGGAAUCCAUUAAGAUAUCCUAUUUAUUGUUUGCCUGCUACAUGGAGCAAAUGCCUGCUGUCUCUGAUCCGUAGAAUGUGGUGCUAAUGCAGGUUUUACUUCAGGUGCUGCCUGUACAUAAGAGGGUAAUCAUAGCUCUCGCCCAGCUUUCAACUAAAGUAUAACUGACUCAACCUAUCCAUUUAAAAAAGAAAGAAGAAAAGUGAAAGCACCACUGACUUCACGCUUUAUUCUCUGACACCAUCCAUCUUUCCAAAUUGAUUUUUGAUAUCCACAGUGACCUGGAAGCUAGGCACAGCGAUAACUCUCAGAAAGUGGAAAACAAUAUUAUUCCCACAAAUAUGAAUUACUCGUCGGCAGGUUAAAUCUACUGUGCAAUGAAUUAUGUGACCCCAGAGCUCCUAUAAUUCUUUUGAAUUUUACAGAGUCGUGAGAGAGAGAGCGCACAGCUCUGACAAGCACUUAACAGCCAAAAUCAGUCCUGAACAACUCUCCUGGACAUUUGAUUUAGCCAUUUCAGCCUGACGUUACCAGACAAUUUAGUUUUCGGAGUUGGAAGAAAAUGACAUUCAUCCAUUUUGAAACUUAUAGAUUUCAUUUGCUGAUCAUUUUUCACAAUAAGCUGCGAGUCUUUUGUCAUCAGCUAUUCCCAUUCCAGCCCCAAGUUAAAAAAACACAUAAAUGCUAAACAAAAUGACAACAGAGAUGAGAAAAACAGACUAGCUGAAGUUAAGAUGUAUGCGUAAAAGAGACACUGUACAUGAGCUCAGCAAGUUGUUAUUUUUAAAACCUCACGGCAUUAUUUUUCCAAUGAUUGACCUGUCAAUUUCAUCCCUUCAAACCCAACUAACCAAACAUCCCUGUGAAACAAAAGUCUGACUGUCAGUACGUGCAUUACUUCAAUGUACUGCAAACAGGUUUGACAGAUAUGUUGUAUAUUUAAAAAUGUGCUACAUUUAAACAAUUACAUCAAUGGGUGUCAGAUAUGUUAUGUUUUGCAUCGAGGCUUCCUGUAAUAUUUCUAUGUCAGUCAUGUAAUUGGAGACAGGCAAUUAAAACCAAGGUAAACUAGAAUCCUUUAGCUGCAGUGAUGAAAAGCAGCAGGUUUCUGGUGCAUUUCGUACAAAUAUUGAUCAUAAAUGGACACCGUGCCUCCAAGGGUGGACGAAGCAGAUUCAAUGAUAUCUUGCAAAAGGGAGUUGGAUAAAUACUUAAAGAGGUAAGAAAAAUAAGUUGGGCUAACAGAAAAGGAUUGGGCAGCUCCUUGCAGCUAAAUAGGCCUUCCCAAGAGCUUUUAAAAGAUGUGCCAAAUGAUGAUCCUUCAGCUCUGUGCGAUUCGAUAGACACUCGAGUAUUGAUCCGAGAGUUUUAGAAAUGACCCAGCUGUAUUAUAAAGCUCAAAGCUAACGUCAAGGAGCUGUGCUGUACCCUGCAGGCUGGAAAAGGUAACUGAAUUACUCAAUAGUAUCAUGGAAUCACGCAUCCAAGUAAUUCCGGUCCAAGAUGGUGCCAGAGUGGCACGCUUCAGCUGGAGUUGGUCUUCUCCUCCCGCUCUCCUUCUUUAUUUCUUCUCAUUUCUUUCUUCUUGGUCCUUUUUCAUUUUCUCUCCCGGCCUCUGACAACUCCCAGCCUCCGACGUGACUCCCAGCAUCUGGCGAUAACUCCCUUCCUCCGGUUACGACUCCCAGCCUCCGAUGAUGACUCCCAGCAUCCAACAACAACUCCCAGCCUCCGACGGUGACUCACAGCAUCCGGGGAUGACUCCCGCCCUCCGGCAAUAACUCCCUUCCUCCGGUGAUGACUCCCAGCCUCCGACGGUGACUCCCAACAUCCGGCGAUAACUCCCAGCCUCUGGCAAUAACUCCCUCUCUCUGGUGACAGCU